UCAGUGAUGUAAACGUAGAUGAUGAUGUAUGUGGUUAUGUAAAUCCUUUAAGGAUAGUCUUUCAUCCCGUAGUGUAGGCCUUUGUAACGUGCUGUAAUGUACUUUUCUUUUAAUGAAAUUCUUGUUUUUUACUCAUACUUGUUCUUUCUCUGUCAUGGAUGAAGUACUGAUACUGCUUUUCUUCGUAGCUUUAGCCAACUAAAUUUUGUUUCGUUUUUUCCGAGCUGAACUGACCAUAUUCCGCGAACUCUUGCUUUUAGUCGAUGAGCCGAGCUCCGGGCCUACUUAACCAACUGGACGGUCGGUUUACUUUUCCGAGCUUGACUAACCGACCCGUGAGCUCGGUCUUUACUUGAUGGAUUGAGCUUUGAGCUUCCUUUAGCCGACCGAGCUCUCAAGUUAUGUUGUCCGAGCUGGAUUAAUCCGACCUGUGAGCUCGGUCUUUAAUCCUUGAGUUGAUUUCUGAGCUCUCAGCUCUGUAUGAUUCUGAGGUGCCCUUAUCACCUCUUUCCGAUCUCGCAGCCUUUGUUUAAUAACGAUAAGUCAAAUCUUAUAACUUUU
rnacentral:lncRNA from 1 species